rnacentral:rRNA from 1 species
GAUGAACGCUGGCGGCGUGCCUAAUACAUGCAAGUCGAGCGAACGGACGAGAAGCUUGCUCCUCUGAUGUUAGCGGCGGACGGGUAAGUAACACGUGGAUAACCUACCUAUAAGACUGGGAUAACUUCGGGAAACCGGAGCUAAUACCGGAUAAUAUUUUGAACCGCAUGGUUCAAUAGUGAAAGACGGUUUUGCUGUCACUUAUAGAUGGAUCCGCGCCGCAUUAGCUAGUUGGUAAGGUAACGGCUUACCAAGGCAACGAUGCGUAGCCGACCUGAGAGGGUGAUCGGCCACACUGGAACUGAGACACGGUCCAGACUCCUACGGGAGGCAGCAGUAGGGAAUCUUCCGCAAUGGGCGAAAGCCUGACGGAGCAACGCCGCGUGAGUGAUGAAGGUCUUCGGAUCGUAAAACUCUGUUAUUAGGGAAGAACAAAUGUGUAAGUAACUAUGCACGUCUUGACGGUACCUAAUCAGAAAGCCACGGCUAACUACGUG